rnacentral:tRNA from 1 species
GCCCGGGUGGCGAAACAGGUAGACGCAAAGGAUUUAAAAUCCUUCGGUGGGUAACUGCCGUGCCGGUUCGACUCCGGCCCCGGGCACCA